UGUGUGUGUGCAUGCGCAAGUGUGUGUGAGAAAGAAAAAAAUACAUCACUGGAAUAUUUUCAAACACAUUUUCCCCUAUAACUCCUGCAUCACUGCUUCAAAAGAUUAGGUGUCGACUCUAGUAUGUACAGUCUCUGCAAAUCCCUGAUAUGAAAUGCGUGGUUCUCUUGCAGACUGGCGGAAAGAACAGUUCCAGGCCUGUGAGUGACUUUGUGUUCUUUCUGGGUGCUCCUCCUGCUGCCUCCUUGGCUUCCGGCUCCUCCUUCAGUCCUCUGUGAUGACGCAGAUGCUGGCACUAUCAGGUCUCUCACUCUGGAUCCAGGCUCUGCCCAUCCCAGCCUUGCCACCUCUUAUGAAAAGAAGAGUGUGACCUGGAAGGACACCUGUAGGGGCUCAGAUGGCACCUAUAGCAUGUUGGGCCUUGAGGGCAUCACAUCAGGGCGAUGUGACUAGGAGGUGGAGGUCAAGCAUGGGACAGCAGUGAGUGGACUCUGGGGAUCUGCAGGGAAGAUGUGAAAAGGACAGAUUGGUACAAAGGGUCCCCAGAUAAGGGGUUCUGUGUUGUGGGGUGAUAUGACAAUGUAUAUUGUGCCAGGACUGAACCUGAUACUUUGCUAUACCGUAGGCAGAUUUCCUAUAAGGUGGGAGUUUUCCUGGACUCCAGUGAAGGGGAUGUCUCCUUCCAUAACAUGAUUGAUGGGUCCCACAUUUUCUCCUUCCCUCCGACUUUCUUCUCUGAAACCUCCUUUCCGUACUUCAUGUUAAGGUCAGGAAAUGUAUCCCUGACCAUCUGCUCAGUGGAAACACAUCUUCUUUCCAAGCCUCAGUAAGUUUCUGCUACCUGUGAUAAAGCUGUGCUGCGUUAACUCA
rnacentral:lncRNA from 1 species